rnacentral:misc_RNA from 1 species
CGGAGAGCGUUCGUUGUGUUCCUUUUCCAAUGCGCCCGUUUACGCUAGCUAAGGGUGCGGCGCCACGCCAACUCUUGGCUGUGGCGAUCGCAGCCGCGCGCAUGUCGGUGUCAUCGAGCACGCCUGCCGAACCCUCCACUCCAGCCGGUGCGUCGCAAGCUACAGCAGCGACGGGGCCGACCGUGGCGCCAAAGAAGCCACGCCGUCGUAUCGCGAGCAAGCUCGACGCCUCCGCCCUGCUUAAGAAUGUGCCGAGCGAACCCGGUGCUCACGCGGAGCUGUCGACGGCGGAGCUGGAGCGCAAGGUUGAGGAGAUGUCUCGCAUGAAUUCGAAGCAAUUGGAGGAGGUAAUGCGCAAGUUCGAGGAGCAAGAGAACGAGAGCAGCCGUGUGCUCAGCGAGGACUCGCUUUAUCAAAUGGAGGUCUCCCUGAAGCCGCGUAGCUCUGGCGCUGUGCGGGUCUUCUGGAAAGACGUUGACGUGGUGGAGCUCGAAGGCCGCUACAUUGGAUGGUUCGCGGUGACGGUGGACGGCCGCAAAGUAAAGGCUAUGAAGUCUUCGCAGGUUUUGGCGGUUCCAAGCGAGGCCAUGGCGUGCUGCUGCGCUCAGGAGUACGCUGAGCAGACUGGGUACAUCAAUCAGCUUCUCAUGCCCAUGUCGGACAUCUGCAGCGGUGCCCUGCACAUCGCUCCGCAGAUGCUGACCCCGCGCAUCGACUACCUCCUCUCCUUCUUUCAAAACGACAACUUGUACUUCCGCGCCGCCCCGAUCGCCGCGAAGCAGGACGCCAUGAUCGCCCCCAUUAUUGCCUGGUUCGAGCGCGUGUACGAGAUGGACGUGCCCCGUGUGGUGGGCAUCGGCGACCCGCACAUCACGCCGCACGCGACGGCCAAAAUGCGCGACGCGCUCAUCGCCAUGAAUAUGAACCCGUAUCAGGUACUCGCCAUGUGCGUCACGGCGCAGUUCACGAGCAGCUUGCUGUUGCCGUUGGCGCUGUUCAGCGGCGUGGUGGAUCUCCCGACAGCGCUGGCGAUCAACCGGGCUGAGGAACAACACAGCAUCUCGGAGGCGGGACUGGUGGCGGGCUACCACGACAUUCGCGAGGCGGAUGCCGUGACGAAGAUCUGUGCGUGUGCAAUGACGUGGAAACUAAUGAAGGAUGUGCCGCUGGCAAAGUGCCUCGAGAUGCCGCGGGCCGCCUCGGCCGUGGAGGAGGCAGAGGCGAUUUAGGCACGAUUCGGCGAAGUGCACGCCUUCCUCGAUGCAGCCAUCUUUCACGCCAUGCCGUGCACGGCUCCCCAGCCUCCUCUUCCGACUUCCAGUCACCUCGCGGGCGUGGCCCUCUGCCCUGUGCCCUCCCUGUCUCACUCACGCCUCACAAUUUUCCAGCGCUCCCUCUCUCACGUGAGCUGCUCUUGUCGCUGUCUUUGCUGUUGCUGUUCACAGUUGGUGGAAGGUUGUUAACAUUAACGAAAGGGGCGCUCUGUGCUUGCGUGUCUGUGCCGUGAUGGUAGCGGUGAGGCCCAACGACAUGUCGGCGCGCACACGGGAGGCGCCGUCCCACGGGAAGACAUCUACUGUGCAACGGAUGGGGUGCGCAUUCCCUCACGCCAUGUGUCUGCUGAUGUGCACCGAUCCUGCCGUGGGAUGGAGCCCUCCGCGCCAUCGCUGCCCCGUUAUUUCCUGUGGCUGUUUUCUCGUUGGGUGGUAUGCAUAAUGUGAAGCACGCGUGCUGCCCCGCCCCACCCAACCGAACAAUGGAAAGAUGCCAAGGGCCGGUGCAGGGCGUGCACACAGGAUGAGGGAGAACUGCAUGUGGCGGAGCCACCGCGGCGGUCCAACCGCUCUAUCUCUCUGCUGUUGCUUCUCUCUUGCCUCCCCGUCCCUAUUUUUUCUUUUUGCCUUAUUCACACCAGAGGUUCUGGUCGUUUCGCGCGAGUGUCGGGGGAGGGCUGGGGCUUGAGGCCCCACCCGCAUCGAUGUCCCUACUUCCGUUUUGCUGAGGACGUGUCGUUCUCGCUGCCGCCGGGUUUCAGUCGACGUAAACCUCUUGCAUGCCUUUAUUGCUUCUCAUUCUCGUCUUUCUUUCUGCUGUGCGUGGGGGCAAG